rnacentral:tRNA from 1 species
CACGAGAGGAUUCGAACCUCCGACCCC